rnacentral:rRNA from 1 species
GACGAACGCUGGCGGCGUGCCUAAUACAUGCAAGUAGAACGCAGUUGCGAACGGGUGAGUAACGCGUAGGUAACUGCCUGGUAGCGGGGGAUGACUAUUGGAAACGAUAGCUAAUACCGCAUACUACCAGAUGGACCUGCGUGGUAUUAGCUAGUUGGUGAGGUAACGGCUCACCAAGGCAACGAUACAUAGCCGACCUGGGAGGGGUAUCGGCCCAACUUGGACUUAGAAACGGCCCCGACCCCCACGGGAGGCAGCAGUAGGGAAUCUUCGGAAAUGGGGGGAACCCUGAACGAGCAACGCCGCGUGAGUGAAGAAGGGUUUCGGAUCGUAAAGCUCUGUUGUUAAGGAAGCGGUACUUAACCAGAAAGGGACGGCUAACUCCGUGCCAGCCGCCGCGGUAAUAC